UAUCGCAAUGGGCUAUGGAGAUAUUUUGCACCUGGGCUAAAAGGGAUUGCACUUCGACAAUAUGGGCUUCGGCUUCCCAACUAAUGUCCCAUGUUCUGUUGACCGCCUCUACCAAAGUACUACAUUCAGAUUCUACGCAUAUCUUUUCUGUCGUCUCUCUCCACGAGUCCAGAAACUUCAAACCAUGUGCUAGAGCUUGUGCUUCGGCUUCAAUCAACGGACAAGAUCUGAUUUCUAUGGCAAAUCCAUCUAUCAAAGCUCCUUCUAAGUCGCGACGAACACCAGCGAUGGCUCCUUCCCCUGCAUCAACAUCAACAGAGGCAUCUAUGUUAAGCUCCAGAUUUGGGUAUUUCGACCGGAGGGGGGGUGGUGGUUGGGUCCAAACCUUCUACGGUGGAUAUGCUCUUUCUUCUCUAAAUAUGCUCCAUAGGAUGGCUGCUAGCAGUUCAAAGGUAAGGAAAAGAGUUUGGCUUUCUAUAAAACUUUGUAGCCAUUGAUCCAUCCGCGAGUCUUGAGAAGUUUGGCUUUGUCCCAAUGCCCGGGGGUCUUGCCAGAUUUGGUUUGUCCAAGGACAGUGGCGGAAGAUGUGCUAUGUAGUUUCUGAUUGUUGGUUGCACAGGGAACACAAGGGUUGGGUAAUAACGUCCCGUUUGCAAAGAUUGACCUUUGUUGGUAGGGCAUCUUGGCAUACGCUCCAGAGGAAGAAGCGGAUCUUCGGGGGGAUACAAGCUUUCCACAUCCUGUUCCAGAGUUUGCGAGAGGGUUGGAAGGAGAAAUAGGCUAUAUUAGUACUUGGCGGUGGUUUUCCAUCUCUGAUCAAGUUGUAUCCACUCUGAACAGUAUAGACACCCGAUUGUCUUCUUGUCCAAAUUAGCUUAUCCUUUCAGAGAAACCUAUUUAUUAGGGUGGCCAAGAUUUCUUCGGCAAACUCCUCAUCAAAGAUCUGUCUAAGAGCUGAUUCAUCCCACUUUGCGUCCUGGGAAGAGAUUAAUUCUACGACUUUAGAUGGUUCAUCCACGUUCGCAGGACCUCCAAUAACUCAUCUUCUAAGCCAACGGUCCUCUCUUAUGCUAAUAUCCUCUCCAUUUCCAAUCGUCCUUCUCACUGACCCUGAGAGAGUUUCUCUACCAUAAAGUAUCCUCUGCCAACCCCAAGAAGGCCUAAGUCCUCUUUGCGCCUAUAAGAAUGUUUUGUUCUGGGGGUAAAUACCUUUUAAUAAUCUAUUCCACAGAGAGUUCUGAUUUUGGGCAAGUCUCCAGGCUUGCUUGCCUAGCAUAGUUUUAUUGAAGUCGAUGAGGUCUUUGAAACCCAGCCCCACAUUAUCCUUCCUUUCCUUUAAGACUUCCCAUCUUCUCCAAUGAAGUCCAGAAUUAGUUUCACUGUUUUGCCACCAGAACGAAGCUAUUUUCCUCUCGAUAGACUUACGAAUUGACGUUGGAAUUUUGGCGAUCGACAUCGCAUACUGAGGAAUUGCUUGCACUAUGGUUUUAACAAGGAUCUCCUUUCCCGCCUUUGAAAUGAUAUUCUCUUUCCGACCUUCAAGCUUCAUAUUCACUUUUGCCGUAAUCUAUGAGAACAUUUGUUUUUUUUGUAGCACCCCAUUCGGAAGGAAUUCCCAGAUAUUUUCCGGUGUUCCCCAAAACUGGAACUCUCAGUGUCGAAGCCAGAUUCACUUAUAGCUGAUUACGGCAAUUUGGCCCCAUAUAGAGCCCUGACUUGUUGAAGUUAAUUUCUUGACCAAUAGCGUAACAAUACUGAUAAAGGAUAAGAGCCAGAUUCUGACCUUCAACCAGCUUACCAUCUAGAAA